GUGUGAAGUAUUUUCGCCUGUACUGUGUAUUGACUGCGUUUGAUCAAAAAAAAAAAGGGGAAGCUUUCACCCCUCAAAAACCAUAGUCUCCCUUGCUGCCAACAAAACCCCCCAAAUAAAAACCCAGCCACUGAGCUCUUUCAGAGAAGAGAGGGGAACCACGCCAGUUGCUGAGCUCUUUGUGACUUCCGCUCAAUCUAACACCCAGUCUCUGCUGCAUCUCCAACAAAAGCUAUCUCUCACCUGGACUGCUCUGUUUUCCCAAAUUAGUUGAACCCUAAGCAACUGCUCACCAGUAAGCGGCAAAGAAAAUCACAGUUAGGGUUUUAAUUUUCAUUGUUGAUGCCAAAAACAUCUGCAAGGACUGCCUAUGUCAAUGGGCCCAUUGAUUCUUCUAACAAUCUUGUUGAUAAGCCACCUGAUCCUUGUGCUUCUGUAAAAAAAUAAAAAUAUAAAAUAUGGGUGUUGGCAGUUUGUAGAAUGUUAAUGACUUGGUUGAGCGUUCUAUUAAAACUAGUGAUAGGCCUGUUGAUCCUGCUU